UACGCAAAUCGUAAACAUCGACAAAAACUUAAUCGAAACUCUACGGUAUUCAGAUAGAUAUAAUAAUUUAUCAUCAUCCACUGUUUCGAGUUUUAUUUUUAGUUAUAACAAAAUACAAUACAAACACAACACGGAAAUAUAAACGGACAGGAAUAUCGUAGUAUUUAUUCUAUACGACUUUAAAAUAAUAUGCAUAAAAUGGACUUUGUAAUACGAGAAGAUCUUUUAAAAUAGGCUGACCGCCUUGCGAUUAUUUUUGACUCGCCGAAGCCACGAAGUUUUUGACGGAUUUACUUUUAUUUGAUUAAGGAAAACAAAUUGUAUUCAUCUCAUUUGCUUAUUGUGUUAAUUAUGC